rnacentral:rRNA from 1 species
CCAAUAGCGUAUAUUAAAGUUGUUGCAGUUAAAAAGCUCGUAGUUGAAUUUCGGGGUUAGUAGGUCGGUCAUGCCACUGGUAUGUACUGGUCUCACUGAUUCCUCCUUCCUGAUGAACCGUAAUGCCAUUAAUUUGGUGUUGCGGGGAGACUGGACUGUUACUUUGAAAAAAUUAGAGUGUUUAAAGCAGGCUAACGCUUGAAUACAUUAGCAUGGAAUAAUGAACUAGGACGUUCGAUCCUAUUUUGUUGGUUUCUAGGAUUGACGUAAUGAUUAAUAGGGAUAGUUGGGGGCAUUAGUAUUCAAUUGUCAGAGGUGAAAUUCUUGGAUUUAUUGAAGACUAACUACUGCGAAAGCAUUUGCCAAGGAUGUUUUCAUUAAUCAAGAACGAAAGUUAGGGGAUCGAAGACGAUCAGAUACCGUCGUAGUCUUAACCAUAAACUAUGCCGACUAGGGAUCGGAUGAUGUUAAUUUUUUAAUGACUCAUUCGGCGCCUUACG